GCGUUUGAUCAUGGCUCAGGACGAACGCUGGCGGCACGCCUAACACAUGCAAGUCGAACGGAGAUAUUUUGGUUUACUGAGAUAUCUUAGUGGCGGACGGGUGAGUAACACGUGAGCAACCUGCCUCUGAGAGAGGGAUAGCUUCUGGAAACGGAUGGUAAUACCUCAUAACAUAACGAAKCCGCAUGACUUUGUUAUCAAAGAUUUAUCACCCAGAGAUGGGCUCGCGUCUGAUUAGAUAKUUGGUGAGGUAACGGCUCMCCAAGUCRACGAUCASUAKCCGGACUGASAGGUUGAACGGCCACAUUGGGACUGAMACACGGCCCAGACUCCUA
rnacentral:rRNA from 1 species